rnacentral:rRNA from 1 species
UGGGGAAUCUUGCACAAUGGGCGAAAGCCUGAUGCAGCGACGCCGCGUGAGCGAUGAAGGCCUUCGGGUUGUAAAGCUCUGUGGGGAGGGACGAAUAUAGGUUGGCUAAUAUCCAACCUGAUGACGGUACCUCCUUAGCAAGCACCGGCUAACUCUGUGCCAGCAGCCGCGGUAAGACAGAGGGUGCAAACGUUGUUCGGAAUUACUGGGCGUAAAGCGCGUGUUAGGCGGCUACAUAAGUCGGACGUGAAAUCCCAUGGCUCAACCGUGGAAGUGCGCUCGAAACUGUGUAGCUUGAGUCCUGGAGAGGAAGGCGGAAUACUUGGUGUAGAGGUGAAAUUCGUAGAUAUCAGGUAGAACACCAGUGGCGAAGGCGGCUUCUGGACAGUGACUGACGCUGAGACGCGAAAGCGUGGGGAGCGAAACAGGAUUAGAUACCCUGGUAGUCCACGCCGUAAACUAUGAGUGCUAGGUGUC